rnacentral:rRNA from 1 species
AACGAACGCUGGCGGCAUGCCUAACACAUGCAAGUCGGACGAGACCUUCUGUUCUAGUUGCGCACGGGUGCGUAACGCGUUGGAACCUUCCCUUAGGGUCGGAAUAACUCCCCGAAAGGGGUUCUAAUACCGGAUAAUGUCGUCGGACCAAAGAUUUAGCGCCUUUGGAUGGGCCCGCGUUUGAUUUGCUCGUUGGUAGGGGAAAAGCAUCCCAAGGAGAAGUGCCAUAGCUGGUCUGAGAGGAUACUCCGACACACUGGGACUGAGACACGGCCCAGACCCAUACGGGAGGCAGCAGUGGAGAAUAUUGGAAUAGGGGAGAGAGCCUGAUCGAGAAAUGCCGCGUGAGUGAUGAAGGCAUUAGGGUUGUAAAGCUUUUUUCCCAGGGAUGAUAAUGACAGUACCGGGAGAAUAAGCUCCGGCUAACUCCGUG